rnacentral:rRNA from 1 species
UACGUAGGGUGCGAGCGUUAAUCGGAAUUACUGGGCGUAAAGAGUGCGUAGGCGGUUUCUCAAGUCCGCUGUGAAAUCCCCGGGCUCAACCUGGGAAUGGCAGUGGAAACUAGGAGACUUGAAUCUGGCAGAGGGGGGUGGAAUUCCACGUGUAGCAGUGAAAUGCGUAGAGAUGUGGAGGAACACCGAUGGCGAAGGCAGCCCCCUGGGCUGAGAUUGACGCUCAGGCACGAAAGCGUGGGGAGCAAAAGGG